UGGUACAGCUAUACUGCCUGAAUGUGCUGGUUCUUUUCUGAUCCUGGAAGCUAAUCAGGUUCAAGCCUGGUUAUUAUCUGGAUAGGAGGCCAUGUGGGAAUACUGGGUGCUGUAGGCU
rnacentral:rRNA from 1 species